AGGCUGGGCUGUGAUGGGGAGCGAAAAUUGCAGUAGCGAAGGUCAUGUACUCCGGCUGUCGAGAAAAGCCUCUAGGUAGAUCUAGGUGCCCGUACCGCAAACCGACACAGGUAGGCGAGCAGAGCAUGCUAAGGCGCGCGGAAGAACUCUCGUUAAGGAACUCGGCAAAAUGACCCCGUAACUUCGGGAGAAGGGGUGCCUCGGUAGGGUGAAUAGCCCGAGGGGGCCGCAGUGAAAAGGCCCAAGCGACUGUUUAGCAAAAACACAGGUCUGUGCGAAGCCGUAAGGCGAAGUAUACGGGCUGACGCCUGCCCGGUGCUGGAAGGUUAAGGGGAGCGGUUAGGGGUAACCCGAAGCUGUGAACCGAAGCCCCAGUAAACGGCGGCCGUAACUAUAACGGUCCUAAGGUAGCGAAAUUCCUUGUCAGGUAAAUUCUGACCCGCACGAAUGGCGUAACGACUUGGGCGCUGUCUCAACGAGAGAUCCGGUGAAAUUUUAAUACCUGUGAAGAUGCAGGUUACCCGCGACAAGACGGAAAGACCCCAUGGAGCUUUACUGCAGCUUGAUAUUGGACUUUGGUACGAUCUGUACAGGAUAGGUGGGAGCCUAUGAAGCCGGAGCGCCAGCUUCGGUGGAGGCGCCGUUGGGAUACCACCCUGAUCGUAUCGGAGUUCUAACCUGGCACCGUGAAACCGGUGCAGGGACCGUGUCAGGCGGGCAGUUUGACUGGGGCGGUCGCCUCCUAAAAUGUAACGGAGGCGCCCAAAGGUUCCCUCAGAAUGGUUGGAAAUCAUUCGAAGAGUGUAAAGGCAAAAGGGAGCUUGACUGCGAGACCUACAAGUCGAGCAGGGACGAAAGUCGGGCUUAGUGAUCCGGUGGUACCGAAUGGAAGGGCCAUCGCUCAACGGAUAAAAGCUACCCUGGGGAUAACAG
rnacentral:ncRNA from 1 species